rnacentral:rRNA from 1 species
CAACCUGCCNANNACUNNNGGAUAGCCUUUCGAAAGAAAGGAUAAUACUCCAUGACCUCCUCAGAGGACAUCUGACGAGGAGCAAAGAUUAAUCGCUGGGUGAUGGGGAUGCGUCUGAUUAGGCAGUUGGCGGGGUAAAGGCCCACCAAACCGACGAUCAGUAGGGGUUCUGAGAGGAAGGUCCCCCACAUUGGAACUGAGACACGGUCCAAACUCCUACGGGAGGCAGCAGUGAGGAAUAUUGGUCAAUGGACGUAAGUCUGAACCAGCCAAGUAGCGUGCAGGAAGACGGCCCUAUGGGUUGUAAACUGCUUUUAUGCGGGGGUAAAGUGAGUGACGUGUCAUUCAUUGCAAGUACCGCAAGAAUAAGGACCGGCUAAUUCCGUGCCAGCAGCCGCGGUAAUACGGAAGGUCCUGGUGUUAUCCGGAUUUAUUGGGUUUAAGGGAGCGUAGGCCGUCAGGCAAGCGUGUUGUGAAAUGUCGUGGCUCAACCAUGGACUUGCAGCGCGAACUGCCCGACUUGAGUGCGCGGAAAGCAGGCGGAAUUUGUGGUGUAGCGGUGAAAUGCUUAGAUAUCACGAAGAACUCCGAUUG